UCAGGCACCCUCUCCACUACUGUUAAGAGUCUUAGCUGGGGUCAUCCUUGUGGGUUCCUGGGAAUUUCCCUAGCGCCAGGUUUCUCCCUAACCCCAUAAUGUAUCCCUCUAUCAAGAAUAUCUCUUUCAUUGGUGAGUCUGGGUUUUAUUUAGAUCCUCUGCUUUUCAUCAUACUCGUCUGUAGCAGCCAUCUGCUUGUAUUAUCCAGGUUAGUGUGGGACCCUCUGAUCUGCUGGAGACUGGUUACCUCAUAACACACCACCUAAUUUGUCAGUGUGGGCAGUUGUUCACAGUUCUGUCUUCAAAAUACAAAAGGGUUAGUACCACUUUUUUUUUUCUAUAGCCAUUUCCUUAUUGGUUUUCUUCCUAGAUAAUCCUUAUAUUUACCCAUGUUCUCUGAAUCUGCAAAUAGGCCUCUGGGUUAUGCCAGGAAAUACUUUGUUUACAUCGCUGCAGUAUAAAGAGUAGUUUGAAGAAAUUUCCAUGUGGUUUUGAUGGAAGCCAACCUGUGAUGUCAGCUGUACACUCAGGAAGCUAACUAAAGUCUGGGGCAUCUCUUUGAACAUCAUGGUAACCUUGGUGCUGACCACAGAACUGGCACUCGGUACGGAGUUUAGUGCUGAAUGAAUUGCUUUAAAGCAAAUAUAAAGGGUGGAUAAAUUGUCGCUGCCAGAGCAUUAUUUGAUGAGAACAUGCCUAACCCAGCCUAUAAAGACUAUAAAUUGUAAAGCAGCAUCUUCCACUAGUAAAAUAUUUUCAUAUCCUUUUUAAAUCCAGACAACCUCCUUAACUGUAGAUAUUUUAAGCACUUACCAGAAUUAUAUCAUUUCAGAAUGGCCUCUGUCAGCCCAAGUCUAGUAGAACGCAAGGAUGUUGCCAAGGCGAAUUCCUAAGAAGAACACAGUGCUACAAACGUGGUUCAUGGAGUCCUGAGCGUCUUGGUUCCCUAAUGUCUUAAGUCCCUUUCUUCACUUGACAUCUUUCCUGUACAUCCCGCCAUGGCUCUGUGACCUGUCAGAUCUGUGCAUUGUGAAAUGACAUGCUCUAGGUCACACGAUGACCAAGGGCUUCAGGUAUCAAACUGAGGUGGAAAGAAGGCAGACACUAAGGUCUGAAAGCCAGGUUUUAUGUCAUUUACUACACUCUGAAAUACAUAUACGCGCAGCUUGGAAGUUACAUGUUUUCCAGUUUGAAACGGUCUGUAAAGCCACCUGUAUCAGUGCCCAACAAAGAAAACAGAAAGUUUUGAGUGUUUUACAAGAGAAAUUGGAGCAGGAAAUGGAAGGAGCAGAAAACCAAACCAAACCAAACCAAAUAGCUCCAUACAGACGCCACACCCCUAAUCUGGAGAGGAGGAAGGGAGGAAGUGGUGCUGUUGGAGAUCCAAGGUUGAAGCUGUGGGUGGGAGGCUGGAGAGAAGACUCAGUGGGUUAAGUACUGACUGUACAAGCUUGAGGACCUGAGUUCGGAUCCCCAGCGCUUAUGUGAAAAGGGAAGGGCAACUGUGUGGCAACCCUGUCGCAAAGAAAAAAGUGGCAAGUGAUAGAGGACACAUGAUACUGACUUCUGGUUUUCACACACAUGAAUGAGCACAUGUACACACAUGAGAUGCAUACUUCCCUCAACACACACACACACACACACACACACACACACACACACACACACACAUACAGAGCGAGAGUGAGAGCGAGAGCGAGAGCAAGAGCAAAGCAGCAAAACCAUGAAGUCAUUGGGGUAGAAGCUGGAGCCACAGUAGUGUGGCUAGAAGAAAUUGACACUACAGAACACAGAUGAGCAACAUUAGCAACUACCAGAACCAGCAACUGGUUCCUCUCCUCCGCCAUCUCUGGCUUCCCACCAGUUCCUCUCACUCCUGAAAUCUGCCCGAAAGCAGCUGAUACCGGAACCUAGGCAGCCAUUCUGCUGGAGUCAGCCUCUCUAGAUAAGAAGUGGAGUUUCAUGGGGGCAGAUGGCCCAGCACUGGCACCUACCCAGUCCAAAGCCCUUUUCAAGAAUGGGUAUUUCUUUUAAUUCCUUGGACACUUUUGAACAGAUUGCCUAAUUUUAUUGAGGUGUUAAGUUACUGGCAUAAAAUUGUGUGCUACAUUUUACCAUCUUGAAUUUAAAUAUUCUUCUGCAUUUAUGACAAUUGCCUAAACACAGGUAAGGUCGUCGUCUUAAUUACUUUUCCUGUUACUGUGAUCAAAACUUUGACAAAAGUGACUUAAGAGAGAGGGGAUUCAGACAGUAGUACAUCAGGACAGGGAAGUCAAGGGAGACAAGAUCUUGAGGUGGCUGGUCACCCAGCAUCACAGCCAUGGAGCAGAGAGUGAGGGAUGCUGGUGUUCGGCAUUCUCCUCUUCAUGCCCUCCAGGACUGAAGUCUAGUGAGCAGGGUCACCCUUCCUUAGGGUGGGUCUUCCCACCCUAGUUAACCUAAUCAAAGUGAUCUAUCCCUUCCAGGCACACCCAGGGCUAACUUCAUCUAAACAACCCCUCAUAGGUGCGCCUGGAGGUGGCCUCCUGGGUGACUCUUGCCCUGUCGAGUUGACAGUGAACGGAAGUCAUCAGUUGUCUAACCUGUUCCCCUGACUCCUCUGUAGCCUUUAGUUGAUGGCGACGUCUAGAAGCUGGCCCAUUAGGAUCAGUUAUUUGACAUGAGUCCUUCACAGGCAGUUUUUUAUAUUUCCACUCGGAGUGUGUAAACGUAAAUAUCAUACUGAGUAUUAAAAGCUAUCAUUGAUAAUUUAUUUUCCUACAUCUAUCAAUGCAUACACUGACUCCAAUAUUAGCAGCUGAAAAUGCUGAAACCUGAUUUUAUUGUUCUUUGUUUUUCAGCUGGAAUACAUCUAUUCCAGAGAAGCUAGCUCCCAUCCCCUUUGGUCAUUGUCUUUUGACUUAAUUUUUCUCCUUUACCUCUUCCGUCUUCACUGGAAUGGUGAUCUUUUCUUUAAAGGUACAGACCACAGAAUUUUGUCACGGGUGUUCAUAUUUUUUUUUAAUUUUUUUGUUAAUGACACAAAAUUCAAAUGGUUUGAUAAAGUAUAGAAUUAAAAAGUCUUUCUCUCCUGCCUCCACUCAGUUUCCUCUCUAGAGGCAACCAUUGCUUCAGUAUUCCUUAGACAAGUAUCUCACUCUGUAGCUCAGGAUGGCCUCCAAUUUGAGAUCCUCCUGCUUCAGCCUCCUGAGUGCUGGGAUUACAGGCAUGGCCCACCAUGCCCAGGUCCUGCUGCAUGUUUCUUAUGAUGGCUUCCCCAGACAUAGAAAUUGUAUGUACUCAAAUGACAAGGCAAAGGGGAGCAAGUGUCCAUA